UAAGGAGGCCGGGCGGCCGCUGCCCCGACGAGAGUCGGGGGAGAGGAAAGUCCGAGCUCCACCGGGCAGGGCGCUGGGCAACACCCAGACGGGGCGACCCGCUAGACAGUGCCACAGAAACACACCGUCCCGACCCAGGUCGGGACAAGGUUGAAAUCGUGAGGUAAGAGCUCACGGCCCCGGCGGUAACGCCCGGGGCGGGUAAACCUCACCUGGAGCAAGGCCAAAUAGGGGGACGCAGGCGCCCGGCCAGUCCCCGGGUUGGCUGCUAGAGUCCCGUGGCAACACAGGACGUAGAGAGAUGGCCGCCGUCCCGAUAGCAUCGGGAUACAGGACUCGGCUUAUAGGCCUCCUUAGCCU
rnacentral:RNase_P_RNA from 1 species